CAACGAAACUGCUCAGCAAGUUCUGUGAGUUGUAGUUCAGUGUUAGAAUUGUUCCUGAUCACUCUCAGGAACUGUGAAUAUAGGACCCCUCUGGGCAUAUGGGGGGGGUGGAAUGAGUUAGCCUGUAUUAAGAUGUUCCUAUCUGUAGGUUUUUUGUACAGUGUAGUGCCCAACCCCUCUCCCUUCCUGUAGAUCGUCAGGUCAAGGUAAUGAAUCAUAUGCUGAUCGUAAGUCAUGGUGAGUCGGAUGGGUGAGUCAAGGUUAUUUAAUUGCUCACAGAACCUAACCAGUUCAUCAGAGGUGCCCGACCAAAGCAACAGCAAGUCAUCAAUAUAUCAUUGGGAGUAACCUCUCUGUCUCAUACUGUUGCAUGUAAAUAUUCGCAAAGGAUGGAGCUACGUUCGAAAUCCAUAGCGGUCCCUGAUAUCUGUAGAAAGAAAGAAUCUUGGAACAUAAAGUAAUUAUGUGUUAACACCAUGUCUAGUAAUGCAAUCAAAAAUUCUAAUGUUGGUGAACCAUGGUGAUGUUUUUGAAGUGCCCUCUGGCAAGCCUGCAGUCCCUCUGUGUGUGGAAUAACAGUAUACAGACUGGAGACAUCCAUCAUCACCAGUAAACAGUCUGUGGGAACCUGGACAUUUUUUAAUAAAUCCGGAUGGGAGGGUGGGCAGCUACUUCCCUGCUGCUGCCAUGAAGCUUGCCAUCUCUCAAAUCUUUUGGGACGUCUUAAAGGAGAAGGAGAGGCAAAAAUGAAGUGAGGAGCUGUCACCUUUCAGUCAUGCGGUCACUGGUGGAUCAAUAAGUGGAAGACCUACAGAGGCACAGAAGAUGCCUUAUUGGAUCAAAAAGUGAUGUGGGAGAAAUAAAGACCAAGUCACACUAAGAAGCAGACUAGUCACCUUCAAAAGAGGAAAUGACACCUCCAAAGGUAGAGAAUGCAAAUGGGGGUCAGACAACACCAGAAGAGGUCUUUCAGCUGGGAAAGAAGAAGCAAGUCCAGCCUAGGAGGUGAUGAAGAGGUCGGUUGGGUCUGAGCAAUGGCCACAUAAUAUACAAAUCUGCACAUCACCCACUAUCAAAAGCAGAGGCACUUCGAGUUCCAGGAUCCGUCACUUCAUCAAAGAUGGAUGAAAAGAGAAAUUAAAUUUAACUGUGAGCAUAUGGUG